ensembl:lncRNA
UGCCCUUGGAAGGGAGAGGGCUAAUACUCGGAUCCAGGAACCGGAUGGCAUGUACGUGACACAUGGCAUUGGUUCUGGGUCAGAACCAGAAAUGGUUUUUAAUUUGAGCUGAUCACUGUUUGUUUAGUAUCGGAAUAUGAAGGUGAACUUUGCUCUAUGUGGAGGAGGUGAACUCUGCUCUGUGUGAAGGAGGUGAACUCUGCUCUGUGUGAAGGAGGUGAACUUUGCUCUGUGUGAAGGAGGUGAACUUCACAACCAGAGAUUCUCUGCACUGUUGUUAUGAAUGCAGAAAGUACAAGAGCUGUAAAAUGUGGAAAGUGGAUUAAUAGUUUGUAAUGGGUUGUGUAUUUACAUCCAACGGCCACACAGGGGCAGUAUUGGGAUCUGAAAAGAAACGUGUGUGGAUGACAAAGGUCGUAACACUACAAUUAGGCCUAGCUGAAUGAAAUUAUAAAUACAGUAUGUCUUGAUAAAUAAACACAAAUCAAUCUAUAUUGAUUGUUCCCAUGUAUAUUUGUGUGUGUUUGUGUCUUAAGUUUUGUCUUAUGAAUGUUAAUAAAUACACAGACGACCUUGUUCAUUAGUGUGAUGAUUUUAUUGGUUUGUGAUGAUUAAAGUUAAAACCAAGCAGCUGCAGGGAUCAUCUCAACAGACAGUAAAGAUUCUAUUUUGGAAUGACUGGACAGCAGAACACCCAGAGGAACAGAAUGAGAGUACAGUUCUAGAGAACACCAGCUAGAGUUCUACAUUCUAGGAGAAUUCCAGCCACCAGCCAGUAGUGUGCAGGAUCCAGACAAGACAUCAUGCCAUGGAUUUAAUACCUCCUGGUGUCUAACUUUAACAAGACAUGUACCUCUAAUGCAU